rnacentral:rRNA from 1 species
CUUAACACAUGCAAGUCGAGGGGCAGCACAGGUAGCAAUACCGGGUGGCGACCGGCGCACGGGUGAGUAACGCGUAUGCAACUUACCUAUCAGAGGGGGAUAACCCGGCGAAAGUCGGACUAAUACCGCAUGAAGCAGGGGCCCCGCAUGGGGAUAUUUGCUAAAGAUUCAUCGCUGAUAGAUAGGCAUGCGUUCCAUUAGGCAGUUGGCGGGGUAACGGCCCACCAAACCGACGAUGGAUAGGGGUUCUGAGAGGAAGGUCCCCCACAUUGGUACUGAGACACGGACCAAACUCCUACGGGAGGCAGCAGUGAGGAAUAUUGGUCAAUGGCCGAGAGGCUGAACCAGCCAAGUCGCGUGAGGGAUGAAGGUUCUAUGGAUCGUAAACCUCUUUUAUAAGGGAAUAAAGUGCGGGACGUGUCCCGUUUUGUAUGUACCUUAUGAAUAAGGAUCGGCUAACUCCGUGCCAGCAGCCGCGGUAAUACGGAGGAUCCGAGCGUUAUCCGGAUUUAUUGGGUUUAAAGGGUGCGUAGGCGGCCUUUUAAGUCAGCGGUGAAAGUCUGUGGCUCAACCAUAGAAUUGCCGUUGAAACUGGGGGGCUUGAGUAUGUUUGAGGCAGGCGGAAUGCGUGGUGUAGCGGUGAAGUGCAUAGAUAUCACGCAGAACCCCGAUUGCGAAGGCAGCCUGCCAAGCCAUGACUGACGCUGAUGCACGAAAGCGUGGGGAUCAAACAGGAUUAGAUACCCUGGUAGUCCACGCAGUAAACGAUGAUCACUAGCUGUUUGCGAUACACUGUAAGCGGCACAGCGAAAGCGUUAAGUGAUCCACCUGGGGAGUACGCCGGCAACGGUGAAACUCAAAGGAAUUGACGGGGGCCCGCACAAGCGGAGGAACAUGUGGUUUAAUUCGAUGAUACGCGAGGAACCUUACCCGGGUUUGAACGCAUUCGGACCGAGGUGGAAACACCUUUUCUAGCAAUAGCCGUUUGCGAGGUGCUGCAUGGUUGUCGUCAGCUCGUGCCGUGAGGUGUCGGCUUAAGUGCCAUAACGGGCGCAACCCUUGCCACUAGUUACUAACAGGUGAUGCUGAGGACUCUGGUGGGACUGCCAGCGUAAGCUGCGAGGAAGGCGGGGAUGACGUCAAAUCAGCACGGCCCUUACAUCCGGGGCGACACACGUGUUACAAUGGCGUGGACAAAGGGAGGCCACCUGGCGACAGGGAGCGAAUCCCCAAACCACGUCUCAGUUCGGAUCGGAGUCUGCAACCCGACUCCGUGAAGCUGGAUUCGCUAGUAAUCGCGCAUCAGCCAUGGCGCGGUGAAUACGUUCCCGGGCCUUGUACACACCGCCCGUCAAGCCAUGGGAGCCGGGGGUACCUGAAGUCCGUAACCGCGAGGAUCGGCCUAGGGUAAAACUGGUGACUGGGGC